rnacentral:rRNA from 1 species
AAUGAACGCUGGCGGCAGGCCUAACACAUGCAAGUCGAACGGGUCCUUCGGGACUAGUGGCGGACGGGUGAGUAACGCGUGGGAACAUACCCUUUGGUACGGAAUAGCCUCGGGAAACUGAGAGUAAUACCGUAUGUGCCCUUCGGGGGAAAGAUUUAUCGCCAAAGGAUUGGCCCGCGUUGGAUUAGGUAGUUGGUGGGGUAAUGGCCUACCAAGCCGACGAUCCAUAGCUGGUUUGAGAGGAUGAUCAGCCACACUGGGACUGAGACACGGCCCAGACUCCUACGGGAGGCAGCAGUGGGGAAUCUUAGACAAUGGGGGAAACCCUGAUCUAGCCAUGCCGCGUGAUCGAUGAAGGCCUUAGGGUUGUAAAGAUCUUUCAGUUGGGAAGAUAAUGACGGUACCAACAGAAGAAGCCCCGGCUAACUCCGUGCCAGCCGCCGCCGUAA